CUACGGGAGGCAGCAGUGGGGAAUUUUCCGCAAUGGGCGAAAGCCUGACGGAGCAAUACCGCGUGAGGGAAGACGGCCCAUGGGUUGUAAACCUCUUUUUUCAGGGAGGAAUAAAUGACGUGUACCUGAAGAAUAAGCAUCGGCUAACUCCGUGCCAGCAGCCGCGGUAAGACGGAGGAUGCAAGUGUUAUCCGGAAUCACUGGGCGUAAAGCGUCUGUAGGUGGUUGAACAAGUCAACUGUUAAAUCUUGAGGCUCAACUUCAAAAUCGCAGUCGAAACUGUUUGACUAGAGUAUAGUAGGGGUAAAGGAAAUUUCCAGUGGAGCGGUGAAAUGCGUAGAUAUUGGAAAGAACACCGAUGGCGAAGGCACUUUACUGGGCUAUUACUGACACUCAGAGACGAAAGCUAGGGUAGCAAAUGGGAUUAGAUACCCCAGUAGUCCUAGCCGUAAACAAUGGAUACUAGAUGUUGAACAGAUCGACCUGUGCAGUAUCAAAGCUAACGCGUUAAGUAUCCCGCCUGGGAAGUAUGCUCGCAAGAGUGAAACUCAAAU
rnacentral:rRNA from 1 species